GUUGUAUAGUCAAGUAAUUAAGUGCAUGUGGUGGAUGCCUUGGCAGUCAGAGGCGAUGAAAGACGUGAUAGCCUGCGAAAAGCUCCGGGGAGGCGGCAAAUAUCCUUUGAUCCGGAGAUGUCUGAAUGGGGGAACCCACCUACUUUAAGGUAGGUAUUGCAACAUGAAUACAUAGUGUUGCAAGGCGAACGAGGGGAAGUGAAACAUCUCAGUACCCUUAGGAAAAGAAAUCAAUUGAGAUUCCCUCAGUAGCGGCGAGCGAACGGGGAUCAGCCCAUUAAGUUAUGUGUGUUUUAGUGGAACGCUCUGGGAAGUGCGAACGUAGAGGGUGAUAUUCCCGUACACGAAAGGGCACACAUAAUGAUGACGAGUAGGGCGAGGCACGUGAAACCUUGUCUGAAUAUGGGGGGACCAUCCUCCAAGGCUAAAUACUCCUGACUGACCGAUAGUGAACCAGUACCGUGAGGGAAAGGCGAAAAGAACCCCUGUGAGGGGAGUGAAAUAGAUCCUGAAACCGCAUGCAUACAAGCAGUGGGAGCACCUUCGUGGUGUGACUGCGUACCUUUUGUAUAAUGGGUCAGCGACUUAUAUUCAGUAGNNNNNNNNNNNNNNNNNNNNNNNNNNNNNNNNNNNNNNNNNNNNNNNNNNNNNNNNNNNNNNNNNNNNNNNNNNNNNNNNNNNNNNNNNNNNNNNNNGAGGACCGAACCCACUGUCGUUGAAAAGCCAGGGGAUGACUUGUGGAUAGGGGUGAAAGGCUAAUCAAGCCUGGUGAUAGCUGGUUCUCCCCGAAAGCUAUUUAGGUAGCGCCUCGGACGAAUACCAUAGGGGGUAGAGCACUGUUUCGGCUAGGGGGUCAUCCCGACUUACCAAACCGAUGCAAACUCCGAAUACCUAUGAGUACUAUCCGGGAGACAGACUGCGGGUGCUAACGUCCGUAGUCAAGAGGAAAACAAUCCAGACCGCCAGCUAAGGCCCCAAAAUCAUAGUUAAGUGGGAAACGAUGUGGGAAGGCAUAGACAGCUAGGAGGUUGGCUUAGAAGCAGCCACCCUUUAAAGAAAGCGUAAUAGCUCACUAGUCGAGUCGGCCUGCGCGGAAGAUGUAACGGGGCUAAAACUAUGUGCCGAAGCUGCGGAUGUAUACUUUGUAUACGUGGUAGGGGAGCGUUCUGUAAGCCGAUGAAGGUGUGUUGAGAAGCAUGCUGGAGGUAUCAGAAGUGCGAAUGCUGACGUGAGUAACGACAAAACGGGUGAAAAACCCGUUCGCCGAAAGACCAAGGGUUCCAGUCCAACGUUAAUCGGGGCUGGGUGAGUCGACCCCUAAGGCGAGGCCGAAAGGCGUAGUCGAUGGGAAAAUGGUUAAUAUUCCAUUACUUCUGUGUAAUGCGAUGAGAGGACGGAGAAGGCUAAAUCAGCCUGGCGUUGGUUGUCCAGGUGAAAGGAUGUAGGCAUGUAUCUUAGGCAAAUCCGGGGUACUCUAUGCUGAGAUCUGAUAGCAAGCUGUACUUGUACAGCGAAGUGGUUGAUGCCAUGCUUCCAGGAAAAGUCUCUAAGCUUCAGUUACACAGGAAUCGUACCCGAAACCGACACAGGUGGUCAGGUCGAGUAGACCAAGGCGCUUGAGAGAACUCUGCUGAAGGAACUAGGCAAAAUGGUACCGUAACUUCGGGAGAAGGUACGCUGUUGUUGGUGAUGGAACUCGCUUCCUGAGCUGACGACAGCCGCAGAAACCAGGCCGCUGCAACUGUUUAUUAAAAACAUAGCACUCUGCAAACACGAAAGUGGACGUAUAGGGUGUGAUGCCUGCCCGGUGCUGGAAGGUUAAUUGAUGGGGUUAGCGUAAGCGAAGCUCUUGAUCGAAGCCCCAGUAAACGGCGGCCGUAACUAUAACGGUCCUAAGGUAGCGAAAUUCCUUGUCGGGUAAGUUCCGACCUGCACGAAUGGCAUAAUGAUGGCGGCGCUGUCUCCAGCAGAGGCUCAGUGAAAUCGAAAUCGCUGUGAAGAUGCAGUGUACCCGCGGCUAGACGGAAAGACCCCGUGAACCUUUACUGCAGCUUGACACUGAACUUUGACCUUACUUGUGUAGGAUAGGUGGGAGGCUUUGAAGCUGGAACGCUAGUUCCAGUGGAGCCGUCCUUGAAAUACCACCCUGGUAAUGUUGAGGUUCUAACUCUGUCCCGUGAUCCGGGACGAGGACCGUGUCUGGUGGGUAGUUUGACUGGGGCGGUCUCCUCCUAAAGAGUAACGGAGGAGUACGAAGGUGCGCUCAGCGUGGUCGGAAAUCACGCGUAGAGUAUAAAGGCAAAAGCGCGCUUAACUGCGAGACCCACAAGUCGAGCAGGUACGAAAGUAGGUCUUAGUGAUCCGGUGGUUCUGUAUGGAAGGGCCAUCGCUCAACGGAUAAAAGGUACUCUGGGGAUAACAGGCUGAUACCGCCCAAGAGUUCAUAUCGACGGCGGUGUUUGGCACCUCGAUGUCGGCUCAUCUCAUCCUGGGGCUGAAGCAGGUCCCAAGGGUAUGGCUGUUCGCCAUUUAAAGAGGUACGCGAGCUGGGUUUAGAACGUCGUGAGACAGUUCGGUCCCUAUCUACCGUGGGCGCUGGAAAUUUGAGAGGAUCUGCUCCUAGUACGAGAGGACCAGAGUGGACGAACCUCUGGUGUACCGGUUGUGACGCCAGUCGCAUCGCCGGGUAGCUAUGUUCGGAAGGGAUAACCGCUGAAAGCAUCUAAGCGGGAAGCCUACCUCAAGAUAAGAUUUCCCUAGGACUUUAUGUCCUCUAAAGAGCCGUUCGAGACUAGGACGUUGAUAGGUUGGAUGUGGAAGCAUAGUGAUAUGUGAAGCUGACCAAUACUAAUUGCUCGUGAGGCUUGACUAUACAACACCCAAGCAGUUG
rnacentral:rRNA from 1 species